rnacentral:rRNA from 1 species
GACGAACGCUGGCGGCGUGCUUAACACAUGCAAGUCGAACGGAAAGGCCCUGCUUUUGUGGGGUGCUCGAGUGGCGAACGGGUGAGUAACACGUGAGUAACCUGCCCUUGACUUUGGGAUAACUUCAGGAAACUGGGGCUAAUACCGGAUAGGAGCUCCUGCUGCAUGGUGGGGGUUGGAAAGUUUCGGCGGUUGGGGAUGGACUCGCGGCUUAUCAGCUUGUUGGUGGGGUAGUGGCUUACCAAGGCUUUGACGGGUAGCCGGCCUGAGAGGGUGAACGGCCACAUUGGGACUGAGAUACGGCCCAGACUCCUACGGGAGGCAGCAGUGGGAAAUAUUGCACAAUGGGCGGAAGCCUGAUGCAGCAACGCCGCGUGCGGGAUGACGGCCUUCGGGUUGUAAACCGCUUUCGCCUGUGACGAAGCGUGAGUGACGGUAAUGGGUAAAGAAGCACCGGCUAACUACGUG